GUUAUAGGGUCAAGCGAACAAGUGCAUGUGGUGGAUGCCUUGGCGAUCACAGGCGAUGAAGGACGCGGUAGCCUGCGAAAAGCUACGGGGAGCUGGCAAACAAGCUUUGAUCCGUAGAUGUCCGAAUGGGGAAACCCACUCCGUAUGGAGUAUCCAUGGCUGAAUACAUAGGCCAUGCGAAGCGAACGCGGUGAACUGAAACAUCUAAGUAACCGCAGGAAAAGAAAUCAACCGAGAUUCCCAAAGUAGUGGCGAGCGAAAUGGGAUGAGCCUUGCACUCUUUAUUUGUAUUGUUAGCCGAACGCUCUGGAAAGUGCGGCCAUAGCAGGUGAUAGCCCUGUAGGCGAAAACAGUAUGAAAGAACUAGGUGUGCGACAAGUAGGGCGGGACACGUGAAAUCCUGUCUGAAGAUGGGGGGACCAUCCUCCAAGGCUAAAUACUCGUGAUCGACCGAUAGUGAACCAGUACCGUGAGGGAAAGGCGAAAAGAACCCCGGGAGGGGAGUGAAAUAGAUCCUGAAACCGCAUGCAUACAAACAGUCGGAGCCUCGUAAGGGGUGACGGCGUACCUUUUGUAUAAUGGGUCAGCGACUUACGUUCAGUAGCAAGCUUAACCGUAUAGGGCAGGCGUAGCGAAAGCGAGUCCGAAUAGGGCGUUCAGUUGCUGGGCGUAGACCCGAAACCAGGUGAUCUAUCCAUGGCCAGGAUGAAGGUGCGGUAACACGUACUGGAGGUCCGAACCCACUAACGUUGAAAAGUUAGGGGAUGAGCUGUGGAUAGGGGUGAAAGGCUAAACAAACCUGGAAAUAGCUGGUUCUCUCCGAAAACUAUUUAGGUAGUGCCUCGUGUCUCACCUUCGGGGGUAGAGCACUGUCAUGGUUGGGGGGUCUAUUGCAGAUUACCCCGCCAUAGCAAACUCCGAAUACCGAAGAGUGCAAUCACGGGAGACAGACAUCGGGUGCUAACGUCCGGUGUCAAGAGGGAAACAACCCAGACCGCCAGCUAAGGUCCCCAAAUAUAGCUAAGUGGGAAACGAAGUGGGAAGGCUAAAACAGUCAGGAGGUUGGCUUAGAAGCAGCCACCCUUUAAAGAAAGCGUAAUAGCUCACUGAUCGAGUCGUCCUGCGCGGAAGAUGUAACGGGGCUAAGC
rnacentral:rRNA from 1 species